CCUGGGCAACAUGGUGAAAACAUGUUCUGUAUUAAAAAAAUACAAACAUUAGCUGAGUGUGGUGGUGCAUGUCUGUGAUUCCAGCUACACAGAAGACUGAGGUGUGAGAAUUGCUUGAACCCAGGAGGUGGAGAGGUUGCAGUGAGCCGAGAUCGCACCACUGCACUCCAGCUUGGGGAACAAAGACUCUGGUGUCACCUCCUGUCAGCCUUUGGUUGAAAGCACUUGGAAACUUGGGUAGCUGAUAUUCUCCAGAGGCAGAAAAAUGUUCCCAGCCAAGAGAGGCCAUCUCCAGCAGGUCCUGAGUGUCAGGAAUUCAGAUUCUCUGCCCCACUCCUGCUGGAUAGGAGGACACUUCCAUUAGAACCUGGGCCUGGCCCCUUUCCAGUUUUCUGCUGGGAGUCCAGAUUCUGGUGCUUUGCUCCGAAGCAGUGCCUGUGGGCCUCCGGGCCUGGCUCAUCAUCACAGCUUCUCUACUCAGUGAGGAGAUCAUCAUUGUGCUGCUUUUCUGAUGCCUUCCAUUUGCCUUUUUCUCCACUUGGGAAAAACAAAAAAAGCUAGUAUGCUACAUCCUGAAAAGUUGUUAAUCCUUCACCACCACAUACAUUGAACAAUCAGUUCCAGCUGGGAAGUACCACUAAAGGCAUAUUGUAAACUUUUUUUUCUAAUUGGAAAGGUAAACUUUCCCCCCCCAUAACUAUUUUUAGUGUGAAGGAAGUAACUGACCUCUUGAGUCAGAGAUGGCACUCGAGUUUUUCCCCAUGGGUCUUGCCUGCUACACUCCUGGCCACCCUUUCUCUGGGGCUUGACCAAAUGGACCACACUGGCCAGCCUGACAAACCCACCAGAACCAAAAGAAAAGCUGGAUGUGGGAAAGGGCUGAAGAACUCCACGUGUCUAAGAGAUCCUGGGUUGAGAAGAGGAGUUUCAGAUUUCCAAUGGAGAAAUGCAACCAUUAAAGAAUGCGCCCCUGCACAGCCAUCACCAUCAAACAUUUAUGGAGAAUCCACUGCAUGCCUGAAUGUUGCAGUAGUGAAUUGGAAGCCGUUACAGAUGGAAUUGGAGCAAAUUUAAAGUAAAGAUGGAAGAGAGACUAGGUUGAGUUUUCAGAAGUUGGUACUGUUUCCUUUUGCCUAGGUCUGUUCUUGGCGGAUGAGAUCAGACAGAUUGACAUCGGGCAUGCUACAUGAUGUGUUCAGAAGAAAGGGAAGACUUAGAAAUGAAAGUAGAGGCCAGGUGUGGUGACUCAUGCCUGUAAUCUCAGCACUUUGAGAGGCCGAUAUGGGCAAAUCACUUGAGGCCAGGAGUUCAAGACCAGCCUGGCCAACAUGGAGAAACCUUGUCUCUACUAAAAAUACAAAAAUUAUUGGGUUGUGGUGGUAGAUGCCUGUAAUCUCAGCUACUUGGCAGACUAAGACAUGAGAAUUGCUUGAGCCUACCAAGAGGCGGAGGUUGCAGUGAGCCGAGAUGGUAACACUGCACUCGAGCCUGAUGACAGUGAGACCCUGUCUCCAAAAAAAAAAAAAAAAAAAAAGCCUCUAAUCCCAGCAAUGUGGGAGGCUGAGUCGGGUAGAUCACCUGAAGUCAGGAGUUUGAGACCAACCUGGCCAACAUGGUGAAAAAUCCCACCUCUACUAAAAAUAUGAACAUUAGCUGGGCUUGGUGACACAUGCCCAUAAUCCCAGCUACUUAGCUUGAGGUAGAAUCAAUCACUUGAACUGCGGAGGUGGAGGUUGCAGUGACCUGAGAUUAUGCCAUUGCACUGUAGCCUGGGCAACGAGAGCGAAAUGCUGUCUCAAAAAUAUAUAAACAAAUGAAUAAGUAAAUAAA